rnacentral:tRNA from 1 species
GCGAAGGUGGCGGAAUUGGUAGACCGCUAGCUUCAGGUGUUAGUGUCCUUACGGACGUGGGGGUUCAAGUCCCCCCCCUCGCACCA